GUGACUGAGCGAGGAGCUCCCCUCCCUCGCUCGCUCCUCGCAAGCUCCCGCUCGCUCCCUGCCCACUCCCGGGGGGACGUUCCGUGCCGCGGCCGCCGCGGCCGCUGCUUCUUUCACACUUUAGUUGGGAGCUGCGCGCCGCGCUCAGUUACUGGAGAGCUGGCCGCGCGCCGCCGCCUCCCGCACGCUUGCACGCGGGCCCGGCUUCGGGGUUUUGGGUUCUUACUCCAAGCGGCGGGGAGGAGGGGGAGCCCCGGGCACACUGUGGAGAGGAGGAGGAAGAAGAGGAGGAGGGAGGAAGAAAAAAGACGAGGAGGACAGGGGCGGGGGGCGGGAGGCUUGCCACCUUCAGCCCCCCCGCGAAUGCCCAAGGUGCACACAUCUUGACCAACUCAGCAGCAAGGUGGAUUUUCUUUGUGUUUAAAGAAAAAAAAAUGUCCCCGUGUCUGUAGAGAUGAUUUGCAGUUCAGCCCGGCUGAAGCUGACCGAAUGAGACUAUGGGCUGUGCCUCUGCCAAGCAUGUUGCCACUGUUCAAAAUGAAGAGGAAGCCCAGAAAGGGAAAAACUACCAGAAUGGAGAUGUGUUUGGCGAUGAGUAUAGGAUCAAACCAGUGGAAGAGGUCAAAUACAUGAAAAAUGGGGCAGAAGAAGAGCAGAAAAUAGCAGCCAGGAACCAAGAAAACUUGGAAAAAAGUGCCAGCUCAAAUGUAAGACUUAAAACUAAUAAAGAGGUUCCGGGAUUAGUUCAUCAACCCAGAGCAAACAUGCACAUCUCUGAAAGCCAACAAGAAUUCUUCAGAAUGCUGGAUGAAAAAAUUGAAAAGGUAAGAAGUGAAAUAAAUAACCUACAUGUUUCAAGGGAAGUAUAGUAAUGGCUUCAUAUGUGAGGGCAAUAACAUUCUUGUUUCUAUGUCAUAAAGCUAUUUUUGUGAACGUUUGGGUGGAGAGUUAAAUUAAAGUCACCGCCCUUCCAAAAUAAAGUGUGUGUGAGAAUGUUUAAUGUAUAAUAGAGACUCCCAGGAUCCAGGACUGUCCUUGCUUAUUAAAGUAUGUAAAGUCAGUUGGAAAGCAAUAAGCAGUCUUUUUUUCUAGACCAAGCAUUCUGACCACUGCAUGUCAUUUUGCACCCAGUGCCCUGCACUAACCUCCGACUGCAAGGGGGCCCAUAGUACCUGCUGAAACCUAUCGAGGGCCUAUGCAUGGCACUGAUCUGAGUUCUUUGCAAGCAUGUUAUACCUAAUUCAAUUUAUACUUAUCUCAGGAAAAUGGCGUUGAGACAGGUAUUAUCUACAUUUUACAGAAGGAAACAGGCUCAGAAUGCUUGAGUAAUUUACCCAGAUUUGCAAGGCUAAUAGUGGACAAGUUGGAAUUCCAGCCCAGGUCUGUCUGACUCCAAAGCAGUGUCUCCAAGUUGCUUCUCUGGUAGUGUGUGGGGAUUUAUAUUGACAGUAAGAUACAAAGUCGAUCUGUCAUAAUGAAGAGUUUACAUACUUAUAGAAUUUAAAUUCAUCUCUUCAAAGGGGUGAAUCUUAAAUGUUAAAGAUACAAAUCCGAGUAUUGUAAUUUUUUUAUUCUAAAGAAGAGUGAAAUUCUAAGUUCAGAACAUAUCACACUAUGGUUAAGGCGUGACAGGCUGAUUUUUACCUUUGAAAUCUUCCAGUUUUAAUUUGUAUUUGUUUUUUACUUUGUGUUGCCCUUUUAUUUUAGUAUUUAUUCAUGAAUUUCUAAGUUAUGAUGUGUAUCACUCAACAGAAGAUAAUGAAGACGGUCUUAAAUUCAUUAGUAUUAUUUAGCAGCAGAUCCCACUUUGACGUGGACCCUCUGAGAGAAUAAUUGUAUCAUCUGCUAAGCCACCAUUAAAAGACCAGCAAAGGUCACCAAUGCGAAAAAUAGAGAUGGAUAAUGAAUUAAAAUGAGAGUUAAAUCUAUAAUGUUCCCUGAAUGUAAAUAAAUAAAUACUUAUUAAAGUAUAAUAAUUUUUUUUAAUUUUCAGUGGAAUUGUGGCUUAUGAAUGACUUUUUAAGUUGGAAACUUCAUCCAGGAACAGUUGCCAAGUUUCACAUAUUGGUUCAAAAUCUGUUCAAUUUGUCAAUAACCUUUUUUAGUAAAGAGAAGCAUAAAAAGAAAUACAGGUUAAGUAUCCCUAAAUCGAAAUCCAAAAUGCUCCAAAAUCUGUAACUUUUUGAGUGCAGACAUGAUGCUCAGAGCAUUUUCGAUUUCUAGACUAGGGCUGUUCAAUCAGUAAGUAUAUAUAACACAAAUAUUCCAAAAUUCAGAAACGUUCGAAAUUCAAAACACUUCUGGCCCCAGGCAUUUCAUAUAAGGAAUACUCAACCUGUAUUUUCUUCCCACUGAAACGAUGAAGAUCUUUUCUUCCUUUCUUUAUUUGUACUUCCCCCCACUAGCUUUUUGGUAAGAAAAAGAUUUGCAUACUACUCAGGAGGCUGAGGUAGGAAAAUUACUUGAACCCGGGAGGUGAAAGUUGCAGUGAGCUGAGAUCCUGCCACUGCAUUCCAGCCUGGGUGACAGAGCAAGACUCCAUCUCAAAAAAAAAUAAAAUAAGAUUCAGCACCUGCUGAAUACUAUACUAAGCAUUAUGCUAGUUACUGAGGAUACAAAAUUAGAUAGGAAUUAUAGAGUACACUAUAAAUAAAUAGUAAACAGUCCAUUGCUUUGACAAGUUCAAUUUUAAAAGUGAAUUUUUAAAAUAUCUAAUUAUUUUUCUGAUCAAGGAGUACUUCACCCAUCACUGCCACCACCAUCCUCACCCUCACCCUGCUGUUGUCACUGAGAGUGAGGUUCUCCUCCGUGGAACACAACUAUUUGCCUUCUAAGCUGGUUCAGGGGUUGAAACUUCAGGUCCUUUAACCAGGGAUUUGGGACUUGGUACCAUUUCACUAUGCUGGUGGGAGGCCACAACACUCUGCUGCAACCGGAGAUGACCAAGAGAGACAGAUUGUCAGGAGAGCAGUGAAAGUUCAAAGAAGCUUGUAAUCUGAUCUACUUUUGCUUUUCCUUUUGGAGAGUAAAAACACUGUGAACCAGUGGGAGCCGCCUCAUUUCUGUUCACCUCAUUAUUUUUUACUCUGCUACCUAACCGUCGUUAUUCCGUUGGAAUCUAUAGUUACUAUUGUACCUCAUGAUUCACAAGCUCCUAGAAUCUUAUUUGAAGUUUUAGCAUUUGCCUAACUUUGCAGCUUUAAGAAAAUGACAGUUUUCUGUGGAGCAAAAUAGUGAUUUUAAACUUCAUUUUUUCACUGUACCUAGAGAGGGAAGACAGUAUCUACAUUAAAGUAGCCUGUGGAGGAGUUUCUGAAUAUAGUACCAGAUACAGGUGACAUCUGAUGUUAAGAUGUGCUUUCCACUAUACAUUCCAGUUUGUUUGUAAAAAGCAGAAAAAGUAAAUAAAUUUUUUAGGUAUCUGCAAUAAUAGUAUCUUCUAUAGGCAAAAACAGGGAUUUAUAUUUUGCUUUAUGAAAAUGCAAGACCCUGGCUGAUGACCAGGGAGUCCUUGGCUUCCUCAAAGAGGAUCCUGAAUAUUAAAUAAAGAGUAUCUUAGUACAGUGCCAUUUGCACCUGGUUGCUGUUUCUGAUGAAAGGCUUCUUAAAGUUUGUUGGGCCUUGUACAUCUUUUUGGAGUCUAUUAUAAAAGUUACAAAGACUCUCCCUAUGAAAAUGCACAAAUCAUAUACACAAAACUUUUAAGUAUAAAUUUCUGGGUUUUAAGACUCCAUGGAACCUGGCCAUGGGCCCCAGGCAAAGAAACUUUGGAUUUCUUUCUUAUGUAUUUUGCUGAUGUGCUUCCGUCAGAUCCAGGGCCCAGCUGCAGUCAUGAGCGUGCAUGAGCCUAGCUGGCGACCCUAUCCAUAGAUAGUUGUGACUUUAAAGAGGAUUAGGGAACUGAGUACAGAUGACACCAUGCAAACUCAUUCUUCUUCCUUUCUUACAUCCCCUCCUUCCUCUCUGUAAAAAUAGUUCACAGUCUCCUGAGGGAGAGCCAUGAGCAUGCCUAAUGCAUCUCACAUAUUCCAGUGUGAUCUUGAGAUUCUGGCUCUGUUGAUUGAUAUUAUUCAAUGUGACAUUUCAGGAAAAGUCUGAGAAAGAGCAGUAUGUGGACUUAAAUCAGCUGAUUUCAAAAGAUGUUUGUUUGGCUGGGUGCAGUCGCUCACGCCUAUAAUCCCAACACUUUGGGAGGCCGAGGCUGGUGGAUCACCUGAGGUCAGGAGUUCAAGGCCAGCCUAGCCAACAUGGUGAAACCCUGUCUAUACUAAAAAUACAAAAAUUAGCCAGGCCUGAUGGUACACGCCUAUAAUCCCAGCUACUCGGGAGGCUGAGGCAUGAGAAUCGCUUGAACCUGGGAGGUGGAGGUUACAGUUGAGCAGAGACCAUGCCACUGCCCUCCAGCCUGGGCGACAGAGCAACACUCCGUGUC